UGGAAUGUGAAGAUUUUUGUUCUCUUGUAUUAAGUAGCAAAAGUUUUAUUUGGGGAUAAUGAUUUGCAAAGAAAGAGGUUUUUUUUUUAUUUUUUAAGAAAGUCUUAUGAGUUUAAUUUACUUUGAUGAUUGGCUAAAAAACCCACCAUACUGAUACGUUUUUUAUGAGAAGAGGCUGAAAAUGACUAUUUCCAACCUUGUAACCUUACAGUUUUUGGCAUUGUAUCUCCAGGAAUGGGGAAUAUGUGAGACAGCCCCAAGGUUUUAAUCUAGAAGAGUUUACAAACAAAAUACAUGCUCACUGAUUUUGGGUGGCCUCAGAAAAACGUUCUUUCUCCCUUUACCCUUUUUGUGAUAUUGAUGUAAAUAUUUGUAAAGUCUUUGUUAACUUAAUGAAGCGUUGUGCCUAAAAUAGAAGUAAAGUGAAUGACAUAGGAACUCUUACUCUUUUUUUCAUUGCUUUUUUUGGAUACUUAUGUGCUUUAAACACUGAGUAAACAUUCAGCUAAUAGUUACAGAAUCCUUGCCCUCAUUGAUCUUAUGCUGCAGAAUGAGGACAAGUAAAUAGGCAUCAUCUGUAAUAUAAUGAGGGUAAAUGCUGAAUGCUGUGAAAUUUCAUACAGGGGGAAUCCCUUAUCUGUGAGGGAGGCAUGGAAUGGGACUGGAGAAGCAAUUAGCUUUAGUAAGGGAUUUGGGGAAGGACCUUCCAGAGGGAGCAAUAAAUACAAAGGUUAGGAGGUAAACUCUGAAGAGAUUGUUGAGUGAAGAGGAUGCUCUUUCAGAAGUGUCCAGAGAGAUGUCUGAAGGGGUCUAAUAAUAAAGGCUUUCAGUGCCACAUGCAGAAAUUAGCUUUUGAGAGCAAAGAGAAUGCCAUUGAAAGAUUUUAAUUUGGAGUGGAAAUAGAGUGGAUGGAUUGAAGAUACAUUUUGUGAUUAGAACUGACCUAUAUUGUUGAUGAAUCAAACAGAAACGGGAGAAUCAAGAGUGAUUCCUAGACUUGGGUCAUGAUUGUCUAGGCCAAUCUAAAUAUAUAAAUAAAAUGCAAACCAAAUAUGUAAUUUUAUAGUAGCCACAUUUAAAAACUAAAAGAACCAAAAAUAAAUUAAAAAUAAUUUUUUAAAGUUUCCUGGUGGCUCAGUGAGUUAAGGAUCUGAAGUUGUCACUGCCGUGGCAUGGGUUUGAUUCCUGACCUGGAAAUUUCUGCAUACAGCAAGCGCAGCCAAGAAGAAAAGGAAAGAGAGAGGAAAAGUAAUUUUUUUAUUUAACCCAAUAUGUCCAAAGUAGUAUUUUAUAUGUGAUUGAUAUUAAAAGUAUUAAAUAUUUUUAAAUGUUUUGUAUUCUUUUCUCAUUACUAAGUAAGUGUUCAAAAUUUGGUGUGUCUUUUACAUUUAUAGUGUAUCUCAAUCAUUCAAAAUUUAUAAAAUUUACAAUUGAAAAAAUUGGUUAUAAUCCCAGGUCAUUCCAAAUAUAUUUUAAGUUUUGCAGUAAUUGAAUUAUGUGUCUGUUUGUUUGUUCUGGGUCACAUCCCCAGGCGAAUGGAAGUUCUCAGGCUAGGGAUCUGAAUCAAGCAUCCAGCAUCCAGCUGUGGCAAUGCUGGAUGCUUAACCCACUGCACCACAUCAGGAACUCCCAAGAUUUUUUUUUAAAGUUCAUAGUAAAAUUUCAGUUCCUAAAUUAGCUGCAUUUCACAUGCUCAGUUGCCACUUGUGGCUAGUUAUUGCUAUGCGGAACAGUGCAAGUCUGCUGGAUUAAAGAAUGGUGGAAAAUAAGACCAAAAAGUUGUGGGACCAGUCUUUGAUGCCAUAUUAAAGAAUUGGGAUCUUACUCUAGAGACAAGACCAUUGGGUGGUUUUUAAUUUAGAAAGUGACACUAAGUUGUCACUAGGUGGCCAACUAAUGACUUGGGAUCAAGAGCAACCCCUCAGUUGACUCCCCAAGUUCCAGGCCCUGACCUCAGCCCUUCAGAUUCAGAAGUCUGAUUUUUGUCAGUGCUCUAGAGCAAUGCCACUAAAAGUAUGGGCCAGAGGCCACUGCCAGUCUGAAAACACUGUUACUGGUCCAAGACAAGGCAUUUACAGAAAUGAGAGUAAGAAUUUAGAAACUUUGUAACAAUUAGUUACACUAAUUUUAUGUCUUUGGUUCUAAUAAAUAUUGGGGCCUUGUACUGUUGUAUAUGUAUUCAUAUAUAUUUUAUGGAAGUGCCCAAUCUGGAGUUCCUGUCGUGGCACAGUGGUUAACGAAUCUGACUGGGAACCAUGAGAUUGCGGGUUCGAACCCUGCCCUUGCUGAGUGGGUUAAGGAUCCAGUGUUGCCGUGAGCUGUGGUUUAGGUCGAAGACGUGGCUCGGAUCCCACAUUGCUGUGGCUCUGGCAUAGGCCGGUAGCUACAGCUCCGAUUCGACCCCUAGCCUGGGAACCUCCAUAUGCCGUGGGAGCUGCCCUAGAAAAGGCAAAAAGACGAAAAAAAAAAAAAAAAAA
rnacentral:lncRNA from 1 species